GGGGGCAUAGCUCAGUGGUAGAGCACCCGCUUUGCAUGCAGAAGGUCCCAGGUUCAAGCCCUGAAGGUAGGGCCUUCA